CGUCACAUUUCUGUUAGCAUGCGACUGCUAACAGCUACCAGCUAACUGGCUAACCGCUAGCCGUUCCGGUUUUCCGCUUCAUUCGUAGCCCACCAUGACUGGAGGAGACUGGCGAGGCUUUGCGCUGGAAGAAGCCGAGUUCCUUUCCGGCCGCCUGAAGGACCUGCUGUCCUACGGGCAAGCAUACCUCGGAAGCCACCUGGGCUUGGACUUGGGUAUGAAGCCCGAGCUGUUCCCGACCUGGCUCAUUCUGACCACGGCCACCGUUAGCGCGCUGCUCUUGCUUGCCGUCACCUGGGCCGCCGUGUGCGGUGGCAGGAGGAGGAAGCGGAGCAUCCCGGUGGUCACUUCCAGUGGCGGUGGGCAUCCCGUCGCCAAGACCACGGUGACCAAGAUGGUUAAAUUGGAAGAGACGAAGAAAAGACACUCCAAGAAAGGGGGACAGAAGAAACUUCAACCCAACGGACAGCCUGCUGCUGCUGUGCUAAUGCAACAGGAUGUGCAUCCGGAUGUGCUUCGCAAGCUGCACCUGCCUUCUAUCAAAACCCGGAAGGCGCCCAAUGCGCAGCUGCCCGCUCAAGUGAAAAAAGACAAGAAGAAAAAGGAGACGAGUGUAAAACUGGCGCAGCAAGUGAUUGCGCACGACGGGAAAGAAACUGACGGAGGCACGUGGGAGACCAAAGUGAGUAACCGCGAGAAGAAGCAGCAGCGGCGAAAGGAAAAGGGUGCAGAGCCCUUGAGUGGCUCAGAGGUGACGCACCCUGCCAAAGGCCAUGUGGACUCCACCAGCAAUGUGAAAAAGAAGAAAAACAGAGCAGCUAAUGAGUUUCAAAACUCCAAAUCAGCCGCCAAAGGAGGCAACAGUGUAAACGGCGGAACCUGGACUGACUUUUCCGCCAAGGUCCCACCAACCCAAACGGGCUUCACCGAGAUGAGCAAGUGGGGUGCCCCCUACUGCACCGGAACCGAACCCCGGUCCUGGGCCCUGGAGUCACAAGGCGCCAACAUGAAAUCGGAUCUGGACCCAGCGUCUUUGUCUGUGCUACGACUGAACGCGGCCGCAGAGCCACUGUCUAAGUGCAUGGAGCCGCAAUGGAUGCAUCACGCCGAUGGCGAAUGGGCGGGAAUGAAGGGCGAGGACGCCGGCACCGACUGGAACGCCCCCGUCGAGCACUGGGGCAAUUAUGAGGAGCACCCUGUAGCGAGGGAGCGGACCCCUGCCAACAAGGCGUCGGCAGGCAAGAAGGAGAGCGAGGCUCCGGCAUGGGGUGCUGGAAAGCCCAAGAAGAAGAGGAAAAAGACGACAAGAAGAAGCGGCUCAGGCAAGACUUGUUUUGCUUAUGUCGGCACGCCAGAUUAUGUGACAAAAUAUUUCCACGUAUGCGUGCUUUGGCAAAAUUACAAAUGUGGUACUGACGUGGUUAUGAAAUGUCUUACUGUCUCUUUAAUGAAUUCCAGUCUUGCAGAAAAUGUCUUUCAUUGAAAGUGUUGUGAUUGAACGAUAUUAGGCGGUAAUCAUGGCACCCAAACCUGAAGAUCUUUCCAUCGCUGCCUCCAAAAAGCCGAUCAUAUCAUCUUGGGAGGGACCCGAGCAAAAGGCAGCGCGGCAACAGCAAACAAAGACAAGAAAAAGGUCAGACGGGAAACCUAAAAGUCACCUGACGACUCUUUUUCCAACCUUUGUAUGCAAACGAUUGUGGAAUUUGUCAAUAUGCAAUAAUGAGCAGCUUCCUUCUCAAUAGGGUUUUAAUCCAAUUCUUGCUAAUAUAAGACAAAAAUGACUGACGUAAUGUGAUGUAAUGUGGUGAGGAGGAGGUCCUCUGGACUUGAGUCUUAUUUGCACAGAUUUUGCUGCCCACUGGACUUUUAUCAUUGAGGUUCCAUUCUUUUGAACUUGUUGAACUUUUAUUGAUUGACUUUCCUGCUGUUUGAACAAAUCCAUUUACAGUUGCAAUUUAAACAAUUAACAAUUUCGGAUCAAAUUAAAGCCACAGCAGGAUACUUUAAUGUGGAAAAAUAUAAAUUCAAUGCAAUUUAAUAGGGGUGUAAAUCGCGGGUUUUGUCACGAUACAUUAUAAUAUCGAUACAAAGAACUACGAUACGAUAUUUGCCGAUAUCUUAAAGCCUGCUGCGAUUCAUUCACGAUAUAUCGCGAUAUAGUGCUCUACGAUCGAUUUUUUUUUUUUUUAAAUAAAAAAUAUAGAACAAUAUCCUGAUUUAUAACAAUUCAUACGCAAAAUCAACAAGGUACUGCAAACUCUUUAUUUAGGAAAUUACAAGAGUAUUGCAGUAUACAAAGUGCUUAUUUUAACACUGAACUUUGAUGUCGUGUUUUUUCUUUAAAUGUGCGGCGAGAUUUGUGCUCCCUGAAUAUUUGAUCACCGCAUGGCAGGAUUUACAAACUGCACGUGUCUUGUCCGUUGAGCCAUAUUUUCUUUGGAAUCCAAAGUGCUUCCAAACGAAUGACUUGAAGCCUAAAGGGGAGAAAAUUUCUUCGUCUUUUUGGACAUUAGCCAUAGCACCAGCCCAGGAGCCGCGUACUAGUUGUCGACUCCCCUUUCACGUGCCUGCUCUGCUCACAACACAACAACGCACUGCUCCCCGCUCCCGGAAAGAGGAAGCAAGCAACAAUGAACUGGAUUUCAAAAUAAAGUCGCGUCUAAUGUCCGAGGUCAAACACGGCGAUAUAAAUCGAUGUUUACGUUUAGCAUCGAUGACAAUAAAUCGUAGAGCAUUAUAUCGAUUAAUCGAUGUGUAUCGAUGUAUCGUUACACCCCUACAAUUUAACAUUGGAAUUUAAAUAAACAAAAAGAACAGCACGGGGCCAACAAUUUCACACCUUGAUUGAAAAUCAACAAUUAAGAUUUAAUCAAGCACUUCGAUGUGUUAGCGUAGUGUAGAAAUGUUUUAACCGAACUAAAAAAAUAUGAAUUGAAAAUGUCAAUUGCCUUUAUUAAACAGCCACUAGGGGAUUGCAAUGCAAAAAAAUGAAGUCACUGUAAAAAGACAUUUUAAAUCGUUGAAUCUUUCAAGUCGACUGUAAUCUAAAUGAGCGCAAAUGCUCAUUAAGCGCCAUCAAGUGGUGACAAAAGAAAUUGAUUAUCUCCGUUUGUUCCACUCUUGUCACCCUUUGUCAUGCUGAUAACAACAAAUGAGCGAUUGUAGCUGCUGAUGUGGUCUAAAAAAGAAAAUGCUCGCUCCCACCUGUUGGAGGACUUAUUUAUUAUUAUUUUUUAAUCAGCUUUAAGUGGAACAUGAAAAACAACCAGUCGCGGGAAUUUGAUUCCGUUGCCUUAACCUGUCGUCAGUUGUAUGUAAAAGUGCUCCGGCGACCUGUUUUGCUCUUCUGUGUGGUUUCCUUCCAAUUGUAACUUUUGAUGUCAACUGAGUCUUGCAUGACUUUGUAGAAGAAUAAGAAUUGUGACAUUUGUCAAUGGAAAGCAGCAAGCAGCUUUGCCUGUUUGGCCAUCUGGUGUGUUAAAUUGAUUUUUUUUUUAAACUAAAUAAAAACAUGUUUGCAUGUUAAAAAAAGAACAAAAAUAAAUGUAACAAGGCAGGGA